rnacentral:tRNA from 1 species
UCCUUUUAGCUUGUUGAGUAUUACGGUUUCGGCCCGUAAAGGAUAGAUUAUUUCUAUAAAGGAG